rnacentral:rRNA from 2 species
GGGACUUGGCGGCAUACUAUACAUGCAAGUCGAACGAGUUCUCGUUGAUGAUCGGUGCUUGCACCGAGAUUCAACAUGGAACGAGUGGCGGACGGGUGAGUAACACGUGGGUAACCUGCCCUUAAGUGGGGGAUAACAUUUGGAAACAGAUGCUAAUACCGCAUAGAUCCAAGAACCGCAUGGUUCUUGGCUGAAAGAUGGCGUAAGCUAUCGCUUUUGGAUGGACCCGCGGCGUAUUAGCUAGUUGGUGAGGUAAUGGCUCACCAAGGCGAUGAUACGUAGCCGAACUGAGAGGUUGAUCGGCCACAUUGGGACUGAGACACGGCCCAAACUCCUACGGGAGGCAGCAGUAGGGAAUCUUCCACAAUGGACGCAAGUCUGAUGGAGCAACGCCGCGUGAGUGAAGAAGGCUUUCGGGUCGUAAAACUCUGUUGUUGGAGAAGAAUGGUCGGCAGAGUAACUGUUGUCGGCGUGACGGUAUCCAACCAGAAAGCCACGGCUAACUACGUGCCAGCAGCCGCGGUAAUACGUAGGUGGCAAGCGUUAUCCGGAUUUAUUGGGCGUAAAGCGAGCGCAGGCGGUUUUUUAAGUCUGAUGUGAAAGCCCUCGGCUUAACCGAGGAAGCGCAUCGGAAACUGGGAAACUUGAGUGCAGAAGAGGACAGUGGAACUCCAUGUGUAGCGGUGAAAUGCGUAGAUAUAUGGAAGAACACCAGUGGCGAAGGCGGCUGUCUGGUCUGUAACUGACGCUGAGGCUCGAAAGCAUGGGUAGCGAACAGGAUUAGAUACCCUGGUAGUCCAUGCCGUAAACGAUGAAUGCUAGGUGUUGGAGGGUUUCCGCCCUUCAGUGCCGCAGCUAACGCAUUAAGCAUUCCGCCUGGGGAGUACGACCGCAAGGUUGAAACUCAAAGGAAUUGACGGGGGCCCGCACAAGCGGUGGAGCAUGUGGUUUAAUUCGAAGCAACGCGAAGAACCUUACCAGGUCUUGACAUCUUUUGAUCACCUGAGAGAUCAGGUUUCCCCUUCGGGGGCAAAAUGACAGGUGGUGCAUGGUUGUCGUCAGCUCGUGUCGUGAGAUGUUGGGUUAAGUCCCGCAACGAGCGCAACCCUUAUGACUAGUUGCCAGCAUUUAGUUGGGCACUCUAGUAAGACUGCCGGUGACAAACCGGAGGAAGGUGGGGAUGACGUCAAAUCAUCAUGCCCCUUAUGACCUGGGCUACACACGUGCUACAAUGGAUGGUACAACGAGUUGCGAGACCGCGAGGUCAAGCUAAUCUCUUAAAGCCAUUCUCAGUUCGGACUGUAGGCUGCAACUCGCCUACACGAAGUCGGAAUCGCUAGUAAUCGCGGAUCAGCACGCCGCGGUGAAUACGUUCCCGGGCCUUGUACACACCGCCCGUCACACCAUGAGAGUUUGUAACACCCGAAGCCGGUGGCGUAACCCUUUUAGGGAGCGAGCCGUCUAAGGUGGGACAAAUGAUUAGGGUGAAGUCGUAACAAGUGCCAAGCCCAU